GACGAACGCUGGCGGCGUGCUUAACACAUGCAAGUCGAGCGGAAAGGCCCUUCGGGGUACUCGAGCGGCGAACGGGUGAGUAACACGUGAGCAACCUGCCCUAGGCUUUGGGAUAACCCUCGGAAACGGGGGCUAAUACCGGAUAGGACCUUGCCUUGCAUGAGGCUUGGUGGAAAGUUUUUCGGCCUGGGAUGGGCUCGCGGCCUAUCAGCUUGUUGGUGGGGUGAUGGCCUACCAAGGCGACGACGGGUAGCCGGCCUGAGAGGGCGACCGGCCACACUGGGACUGAGACACGGCCCAGACUCCUACGGGAGGCAGCAGUGGGGAAUAUUGCACAAUGGGCGGAAGCCUGAUGCAGCGACGCCGCGUGAGGGAUGACGGCCUUCGGGUUGUAAACCUCUUUCAGCAGGGACGAAGCGCAAGUGACGGUACCUGCAGAAGAAGCACCGGCCAACUACGUGCCAGCAGCCGCAGUAAUAC
rnacentral:rRNA from 1 species